rnacentral:rRNA from 1 species
GACGAACGCUGGCGGCGUGCCUAAUACAUGCAAGUUGAGCGCUGAAGGUUGGUACUUGUACCAACUGGAUGAGCAGCGAACGGGUGAGUAACGCGUGGGGAAUCUGCCUUUGAGCGGGGGACAACAUUUGGAAACGAAUGCUAAUACCGCAUAAAAACUUUAAACACAAGUUUUAAGUUUGAAAGAUGCAAUUGCAUCACUCAAAGAUGAUCCCGCGUUGUAUUAGCUAGUUGGUGAGGUAAAGGCUCACCAAGGCGAUGAUACAUAGCCGACCUGAGAGGGUGAUCGGCCACAAUGGGACUGAGACACGGCCCAAACUCCUACGGGAGGCAGCAGUAGGGAAACUUCGGCAAUGGAGGAAAGUCUGACCGAGCAACGCCGCGUGAGUGAAGAAGGUUUUCGGAUCGUAAAACUCUGUUGGUAGGGAAGAACGUUGGUGAGAGUGGAAAGCUCAUCAAGUGACGGUAACUACCCAGAAAGGGACGGCUAACUACGUG